rnacentral:misc_RNA from 1 species
GUCGCACACAACUUCAUCUAGUGUUUCUUUAGCUGAUUGAAUUAGGAUAUAUUGCUACUAGCUCCUUACCAAAUGCCUUAAGAGGUUCUCAGAUUCAUUACAUUUGCAGCAAGGGUGCAUAUUAUAUGUGUGCUCUCGCUUGAGAGGGAGUAGAGAUACUAACAGUGAUUGUGUGCUAUGGUUUAGGGCCAGAAUUGUUGUAGGAAUGAUUGAUUUGAUUGUCUUUCCAUACCUAUUAUAUUUUAGCAAUAUAUAACCCCCAACAGCUUGAAGGAAUGAUCAAGCUUUCA